rnacentral:rRNA from 1 species
AUGGCCGCGGGAUUGUSCCAGCAGCCGCGRUAAUACGUAGGUGGCAAGCGUUAUCCGGAAUUAUUGGGCGUAAAGCGCGCGUAGGCGGUUUUUUAAGUCUGAUGUGAAAGCCCACGGCUCAACCGUGGAGGGUCAUUGGAAACUGGAAAACUUGAGUGCAGAAGAGGAAAGUGGAAUUCCAUGUGUAGCGGUGAAAUGCGCAGAGAUAUGGAGGAACACCAGUGGCGAAGGCGACUUUCUGGUCUGUAACUGACGCUGAUGUGCGAAAGCGUGGGGAUCAAACAGGAUUAGAUACCCUGGUAGUCCACGCCGUAAACGAUGAGUGCUAAGUGUUAGGGGGGUUCCGCCCCUUAGUGCUGCAGCUAACGCAUUAAGCACUCCGCCUGG